UUUUCACAAUGGGCGCAAGCCUGAUGGAGCGACGCCGCGUGGGGGAUGAAUGGCUUCGGCCCGUAAACCCCUGUCAUUUGCGAUCAAACCUCAUUAUGUUAAAAGAUGAUGAGCUGAUAGUAGCGAAAGAGGAAGGGACGGGCUAACUCUGUG
rnacentral:rRNA from 1 species